CUAUUUCGUUUGGAAUGUCUUUUUGUGAUAUUUCAGUCUGUGGUCCAGACACCUUUACUUUUUGAAAAAUGUCGCCUUCUGUCGUUGCCUCAAAUUCCAUACGUUCGACAUCUAUGAAUAGAAAAUUUUGACACUAUAUCUUUGAACAAUUGAUCUCUCAGGAAUAUAUGAGGCCUUGGAGUUGAGGGAUGGAGGAUCUGAUUAUCUUGGCAAGGGUGUUCUUAAGCUUUUGGCUUAACAUUUGAGAGGAGAUGGCGGUCACGAUCACGUGGGUGAAGGCGAGGCAGAUCUUCAUCAGCCGCGGCAACCCCACCGUCGAGGUGGACGUGGGCCUCAGCGAUGGCAGCUACGCGAGGGGGGCCGUACCCAGCGGCGUAUCCACUGG